GUAAUGUCUGGGAAACUGCCUGAUGAGGGGGAGUAACUGCUGAACGGUAGCUAAUACCGCAUAACGUCGCAAGACCAAAGAGGGGGACCUUCGGGCCUCUUGCCAUCGGAUGUGCCCAGAUGGGAUUAGCUAGUAGGUGGGGUAACGGCUCACCUAGGCGACGAUCCCUAGCUGGUCUGAGAGGAUGGCCAGCCACACUGGAACUGAGACACGGUCCAG
rnacentral:rRNA from 1 species